rnacentral:rRNA from 1 species
CGCCUCUUGCAAAAUUAACAAAUAAGAGGUCCCGCCUGCCCUGUGACCAGAGUGUUUAACGGCCGCGGUAUCCUAACCGUGCGAAGGUAGCGCAAUCACUUGCUCUUUAAAUGGGGGCCCGUAUGAAUGGCUUAACGAGGGCUUAACUGUCUCCUUUUUCUGGUCAGUGAAUUUGAUCUCCCCGUGCAGAGGCGGGGAUAACACCAUAAGACGAGAAGACCCUAUGGAGCUUUAGACACCAAGGCAGACCACAUUUAAGCUACACAUAUUGAGGAUUUGUUGGGCCAUUUGGCUACUGCCCUAAUGUCUUCGGUUGGGGUGACCACAAGGGAAAACAAAGCCCCUGUGCGGAACGAGGAUACUAUUCCUCCAAACCGAGAGUUUCCACUCUAAGAAUCAGAACUUUUGACCUAACUGAUCCGGCAACGCCGAUCAACGGACCAAGUUACCCUAGGGAUAACAGCGCAAUCCUCUUUUAGAGCUCAUAUCGACAAGAGGGUUUACGACCUCGAUGUUGGAUCAGGACAUCCUAAUGGCGCAGCCGCUAUUAAGGGUUCGUUUGUUCAACGAUUAAAGUCCU